GUACCUGGUUUGAACUUCUACCACUCAAUACCAACACAUUAUUAUCAUUACCAGUCCUCAUUUUUGCUGCAUUUGAUCAAAGGUUACUGUUUAUGUUGUUAGGUAGGAGUUAGCUUACGUUUUUUCUAGCUAGCAAACGUUACAGGUGGUCAGUGUCUGUUUGAACUGGACUGAGAGAAGCUAGCUGUUGUGUCAGUGCAUGAAUUAAUAUUAAAGCCAAGGUGCUACUGACUAGCUAACUGACCGGAUGCCCAUUAACAUUAUAACUCCUAUUGUGUGAGUGUGCAGACAGACAGCCUCAUCAUGGACAUAAGAUUGUUUUUUCGAAGAAAAGAGCCAGGUUCAGCUGAAUACAAUCUAUUUGUGUAUGAUUGUCAGUCCAAAGAGGAAGAGACGAAAAAGGGGAAGGAGAGGAGAGAGUGCAAAGUCAGGAAGAACCAGGAAGAGAACAAGGAGAGACUCUGGGAGAUGAGAGCGUGCAGACCAGGGAAAGAAAUGCUGUGCAUCACAUUUCAAAUAAAAGUCAAAAAAUAAGUCCUAG